rnacentral:sRNA from 3 species
UGCAUCUGAAGCCUGACGAGGAUGAGAACCUCCGGGGGCAAGAGGUUCGACUCGAGCGCAGCGAGAGAACGUUGCGUCAGCAACGGCCCGCAGGGCGAGC